rnacentral:tRNA from 1 species
GCGAGGGUGGCGGAAUUGGUAGACGCGCUAGCUUCAGGUGUUAGUGUUCCGGACGUGGGGUUCAAGUCCCCUUUCGCACCA